AGCAUGCCUUUGGAAGAAGGAGAUGGAGAAAAAAACAGGCUUGGAAGGAACCCUAAAAUAUACAGGGGUGAAGUGAAUGCAUGAACUAUGGUGUGCCAAGCAAGGGGUCACACUGACUAUGCCACAGUUUCUUUUCUACUCAUCCAAAGGGCUAUAAUUGCUGUCAUCCAGCUAGAAAUCAGCUGGAUCAUACACCUGGAUCCACUAGCUGGGAAAUGUUCUUAGCCUGAACAGCACAGCUGAAAGAAAGGAAUGAAAGGAAGUAGGAGUAGGGGUGAAAGGACAAGCUUAUUGCUACUACAGUUACCCUCAUCUGAUGUUACAA